CCUACGGGAGGCAGCAGUGGGGAAUAUUGCACAAUGGGGGAAACCCUGAUGCAGCGACGCCGCGUGAGUGAAGAAGGAUCUAGGUAUGUAAAGCUGUAUCAGCAGGGAAGAAGAAAGACGUUACCUGACCAAUAAGACACGGCUAACUACGUGACAGCAGCCGCGGUAAUACGCAGGGGGCAAGCGGUAACCGGAUUUACUGGGUGUAACGGGAUCGUAGGCGGCUGGGCAAGUCUGAAGUGAAAGCCCAGGGCUCAACCCUGGGACUGCUUUGGAAACUGUGCAGCUAGAGUGAUGGUGAGGUAGGUGGAAUUCCUAGUGUAGCGGUGAAAUGCUUAGAUAUUAGGAGGAACACCAGUGGCGAAGGCGGCUUAC
rnacentral:rRNA from 1 species